GCAAAGUAGUCCUAGGGACUACCAAGGGAUUUAUUUUUUCUCUUCAGCAUUAUAAUAUUUAUGUUUUCUUCUUGUUGCUGUUUGUAUUAGACAAACUCCACAAACUGAUCACCCUAGCAGAGGGAUUGUCUGAAGACAGGGGAGAAGAUUGGGAGAAGAGAAAUUUUCAUUUAAGCAGAGUGCAAUGCUGCAAGUAGAAGUUGAAGAGUUUAUGGCUGGCUAUUAAAUUCAAUUUGUCGAAGUGUCUGGAUUCAGCUGCUGUACCGUCCAGUCAGAAGAAUUACCGUGCAUCAUGCUCUGAAUUUCUUCUACUACCUUCUUCUCAGGGCUAAGAUGGGAAAAUCACACUUUUGGGCACUUUGCUGCAUAGAAGAGAGAUGCUGGUUAAUAUUAAAUAACAAUUUGCUGGCAAUCUUGCCAUUCAUGGUCUAUCUCACA
rnacentral:lncRNA from 1 species